rnacentral:rRNA from 1 species
GAAUUGACGGGGGCCCGCACAAGCGGUGGAGCAUGUGGUUUAAUUCGAAGCAACGCGAAGAACCUUACCAGGUCUUGACAUCCCUGGACAGCUGUGGAAACACAGUUUCCCUUCGGGGCCAGGAGACAGGUGGUGCAUGGUUGUCGUCAGCUCGUGUCGUGAGAUGUUGGGUUAAGUCCCGCAACGAGCGCAACCCUUGCCUUUAGUUGCCAUCAUUAAGUUGGGGACUCUAAAGGGACUGCCGGUGACAAAUCGGAGGAAGGUGGGGAUGACGUCAAAUCAUCAUGCCCCUUAUGAUCUGGGCUACACACGUGCUACAAUGGGUGGUACAGAGGGAAGCGAAGCCGUGAGGCGGAGCGAAUCCCAGAAAGCCACUCUCAGUUCGGAUUGCAGGCUGCAACUCGCCUGCAUGAAGUCGGAAUCGCUAGUAAUCGCAGGUCAGCAUACUGCGGUGAAUACGUUCCCGGGCCUUGUACACACCG